GAUUAUAUAGUCUAUUUGAAGGAUAUUAAAUUGCAAGUUUAAAGGUAAUAUUUUUAUAUUUAUAAUUU
rnacentral:tRNA from 1 species